rnacentral:sRNA from 1 species
GCCGGGUGUGGUGGCGCACGCCUGUAAUCCCAGCUACUCGGGAGGCUGAGGCAGGAGAAUCACUUGAACCUGGGAGGCGGAGGUUGCAGUGAGCCAAGAUCACACCACUGUACUCCAGCCUGGGUGACAAAGCAAGACUCUGUCUCAA